UACGUAGGGAGCAAGCGUUGUCCGGAAUUACUGGGCGUAAAGGGCGCGUAGGUGGGCGCUUAAGUCAGGUGUGAAAACUCCGGGCUCAACCUGGAGACUGCACUUGAAACUGGGUGUCUUGAGGGCAGGAGAGGAAAGUGGAAUUCCUAGUGUAGCGGUGAAAUGCGUAGAUAUUAGGAGGAACACCAGUGGCGAAGGCGGAUGACUGGACGACAACUGACGGUGAGGCGCGAAAGCGUGGGGAGCAAACAGG
rnacentral:rRNA from 1 species